rnacentral:misc_RNA from 1 species
GACAUUUUGUCGUAGAUAAAGCGUUAGUUUACAAGAGUAGAAAAGGGUUUUUAUUCUAAGAGCUUGUCCGGUUAUUGUGCUUUUCACCUGUUGGUUUACUAAUCUCACGAACUUUCCGGUGGCACUAUAUGGGAAGCGUUCGCGGUUGGGUAGUUACUUACUGGCUCUAACUUUUUCGUGAUAAUUCUUUGGUGUGGUUUCUUUCUCUUGGUGGCUAAU